GAUGAACGCUGGCGGCGUGCCUAAUACAUGCAAGUCGAGCGAACGGACGAGAAGCUUGCUUCUCUGAUGUUAGCGGCGGACGGGUGAGUAACACGUGGAUAACCUACCUAUAAGACUGGGAUAACUUCGGGAAACCGGAGCUAAUACCGGAUAAUAUUUUGAACCGCAUGGUUCAAAAGUGAAAGACGGUCUUGCUGUCACUUAUAGAUGGAUCCGCGCUGCAUUAGCUAGUUGGUAAGGUAACGGCUUACCAAGGCAACGAUGCAUAGCCGACCUGAGAGGGUGAUCGGCCACACUGGAACUGAGACACGGUCCAGACUCCUACGGGAGGCAGCAGUAGGGAAUCUUCCGCAAUGGGCGAAAGCCUGACGGAGCAACGCCGCGUGAGUGAUGAAGGUCUUCGGAUCGUAAAACUCUGUUAUUAGGGAAGAACAUAUGUGUAAGUAACUGUGCACAUCUUGACGGUACCUAAUCAGAAAGCCACGGCUAACUACGUGCCAGCAGCCGCGGUAAUACGUAGGUGGCAAGCGUUAUCCGGAAUUAUUGGGCGUAAAGCGCGCGUAGGCGGUUUUUUAAGUCUGAUGUGAAAGCCCACGGCUCAACCGUGGAGGGUCAUUGGAAACUGGAAAACUUGAGUGCAGAAGAGGAAAGUGGAAUUCCAUGUGUAGCGGUGAAAUGCGCAGAGGUAUGGAGGAACACCAGUGGCGAAGGCGACUUUCUGGUCUGUAACUGACGCUGAUGUGCGAAAGCGUGGGGAUCAAACAGGAUUAGAUACCCUGGUAGUCCACGCCGUAAACGAUGAGUGCUAAGUGUUAGGGGGUUUCCGCCCCUUAGUGCUGCAGCUAACGCAUUAAGCACUCCGCCUGGGGAGUACGACCGCAAGGUUGAAACUCAAAGGAAUUGACGGGGACCCGCACAAGCGGUGGAGCAUGUGGUUUAAUUCGAAGCAACGCGAAGAACCUUACCAAAUCUUGACAUCCUUUGACAACUCUAGAGAUAGAGCCUUCCCCUUCGGGGGACAAAGUGACAGGUGGUGCAUGGUUGUCGUCAGCUCGUGUCGUGAGAUGUUGGGUUAUGUCCCGCAACGAGCGCAACCCUUAAGCUUAGUUGCCAUCAUUAAGUUGGGCACUCUAAGUUGACUGCCGGUGACAAACCGGAGGAAGGUGGGGAUGACGUCAAAUCAUCAUGCCCCUUAUGAUUUGGGCUACACACGUGCUACAAUGGACAAUACAAAGGGCAGCGAAACCGCGAGGUCAAGCAAAUCCCAUAAAGUUGUUCUCAGUUCGGAUUGUAGUCUGCAACUCGACUACAUGAAGCUGGAAUCGCUAGUAAUCGUAGAUCAGCAUGCUACGGUGAAUACGUUCCCGGGUCU
rnacentral:rRNA from 1 species